rnacentral:rRNA from 1 species
GACGUAGGGCGCGAGCGUUGUCCGGAUUUAUUGGGCGUAAAGCGCUCGUAGGCGGCUCGUUGCGUCAACCGUGAAAACCCGGGGCUUAACUUCGGGCUUGCGGUUGAUACGGGCGGGCUGGAGUUCGGUAGGGGAGACUGGAAUUCCUGGUGUGGCGGUGAAAUGCGCAGAUAUCAGGAGGAACACCGGUGGCGAAGGCGGGUCUCUGGGCCGAUACUGACGCUGAGGAGCGAAAGCGUGGGGAGCGAACAGG